rnacentral:rRNA from 1 species
UACGUAGGGUGCGAGCGUUAAUCGGAAUUACUGGGCGUAAAGCGUGCGCAGGCGGUUUUGUAAGUCCAGAUGUGAAAGCCCCGGGCUUAACCUGGGAACUGCGUUUGAAACUGGGAGACUUGAGUGUGGCAGAGGGGGGUGGAAUUCCGACGUGUAGCAGUGAAAUGCGUAGAGAUGUGGAGGAACACCGAUGGCGAAGGCAGCCCCCUGGGCUGAGAUUGACGCUCAGGCACGAAAGCGUGGGGAGCAAACAGG